rnacentral:misc_RNA from 1 species
UUUCCGUAGGUGAACCUGCGGAAGGAUCAUUAAAGUUAUGUUCCCCCGGCCCUUUGGGCGGGGGUCUUCUAUACCACCCUUUGUAUAUUAUACCUUUUUUGCGUUGGAAGGCCUGCCCUCGGGCUGCUGGCUCAGGCCGGCUAGCGUCUGCCUGAGAACCUAAACUCUGAUUGUAUAAGUAGAUUGAGUAGUAUAUAAUAGAUAAAACUUUCAAGAACGGAUCGCUUGGGUCUGGCAUAGAAGAAGAACGAAGCAGAUGGGAAUAGGACAGGACUGAAA